rnacentral:rRNA from 1 species
AGGACGAACGCUGGCGGCGUGCUUAACACAUGCAAGUCGAGCGGAAAGGCCCUUCGGGGUACUCGAGCGGCGAACGGGUGAGUAACACGUGAGUAAUCUGCCCCUAGCUCUGGGAUAGCUCCGGGAAACCGGGAUUAAUACCGGAUACGACCACCUUAGACAUCUUUUGUGGUGGAAAGAAUUUCGGCUAGGGAUGAGCUCGCGGCCUAUCAGCUUGUUGGUGGGGUAACGGCCUACCAAGGCGACGACGGGUAGCCGGCCUGAGAGGGCGACCGGCCACACUGGGACUGAGACACGGCCCAGACUCCUACGGGAGGCAGCAGUGGGAAUAUUGCGCAAUGGGCGAAAGCCUGACGCAGCGACGCCGCGUGGGGAUGAAGGCCUUCGGGUUGUAAACCCCUUUCAGCAGGGACGAAGCGAAAGUGACGGUACUGCAGAAGAAGCGCCGGCUAACUACGCGCCAGCAGCCGC